CAGCCGCCGCGGUAAUACGAAGGGUGCAAGCGUUAAUCGGAAUUACUGGGCGUAAAGCGUGCGUAGGCGGUGAGUUAAGUCUGCUGUGAAAUCCCCGGGCUCAACCUGGGAAUGGCAGUGGAUACUGGCUCGCUAGAGUGUGUCAGAGGAUGGUGGAAUUCCCGGUGUAGCGGUGAAAUGUGUAGAGAUCGGGAGGAACAUCAGUGGCGAAGGCGGCCAUCUGGGACAACACUGACGCUGAGGCACGAAAGCGUGGGGAGCAAACAGGAUUAGAUACCCGCGUAGUCCCUGUCUCUUACAC
rnacentral:rRNA from 1 species